rnacentral:rRNA from 1 species
CCUACGGGAGGCAGCAGUAGGGAAUCUUGCUCAAUGGGCGAAAGCCUGAAGCAGCGACGCCGCGUGCGGGAUGAAGGCCCUCGGGUCGUAAACCGCUUUCAGCAGGAACGAAAUUGACGGUACCUGCAGAAGAAGCACCGGCCAACUACGUGCCAGCAGCCGCGGUAAUACGUAGGGUGCAAGCGUUGUCCGGAUUCAUUGGGCGUAAAGAGCUCGUAGGCGGUUCAGUAAGUCGGGUGUGAAAUCUCCGUGCUCAACACGGAGCGGCCACCUGAUACUGCUGUGACUAGAGUCCGGUAGGGGAGUGUGGAAUUCCUGGUGUAGCGGUGAAAUGCGCAGAUAUCAGGAGGAACACCAGUGGCGAAGGCGGCACUCUGGGCCGUGACUGACGCUGAGGAGCGAAAGCGUGGGUAGCAAACAGGAUUAGAUACCCUGGUAGUCCACGCCGUAAACGUUGGGCACUAGGUGUGGGUCUCUAUCGACGGGAUACCGUGCCGUAGCUAACGCAUUAAGUGCCCCGCCUGGGGAGUACGGCCGCAAGGCAAAACUCAAAGGAAUUGACGG